ensembl:lncRNA
AUGACAGAGACGUAAAUAUGAAGCGAACUAGACGCUGCGUAAACUGCGGGGAAUGGAUGAUGUUUUAUUUUUAACAUUUAGUAAUGUAGCCUACUCAUUUUGGGAUGGAUCUUGAUUAGACCUGGAUUGGUCUUUGGUCUGAUGUUGCUGAAAAGGUAGGAGUUUUACGCAAUAUGGUGUUUUUGAAAGGUUUAUAAAUUGUUUCUUUUUGUAUUGUUUCUGGAAAUCAAAAUUUCCAAGUAGAGAUGUCUUCAGAUUAUUAAAAAAAAAAAAAUACAUUUAUUAAUUUUAAUAGACUUUACUGGCAAAAUAUAUCUGUUAAAGGUUUCUGAGAUUAUUAAGUAAAUAUUUUUUUUAAAGAAAUCCAAAAAAAACGAGCUUUGCACUGGUAAGAACAGUAUUAGGUUGGUGUAACAGAUGGCAAGUGUAGUUAUUGUUGAAUUGUCCAUCUCAUCUGAAGGUUUUUCCCCUCUUUUGUCCUUAAGUCUUUUGCAAGGAGGGCUGCUAGCAGAACUGGCACAAAAAAGGAAGAAGAUGGACUUAAUCGAGAGGAGGCCCAACAAGUGGUGGACAGAGACAGACACUUUCACCAUGCUGGCCUUGAUCGAAGAGUUGGAUCUGGUGCAUGAACUAGAUAAGAAACGUCAGCGCAAUGAUUUACAUUUCCGCCGCUUGCGCCACAGUCUAGCAAAAAGAGAUAUCCAUUUCACUGUCAACCAGAUCCGCAACCGCUGGAAGAGUCUUAAACAUAAAUACCGUAAAAUCAAGACUGCAGGAUACCGCAGCCAUGCUGCUCGUCUCUCAGCCAUAGAGUCCUUUCGCUAUUUCAAGAAGCUGGAUUGUAUGCUUGCUCGGAGACCCAGGGUGUCUGGCCAGGUGGAGGAGACAACAGCAAGUCAUAACCUGGUGGUGGUCUCCAAUUCUGACCUGGAAGAUCAUACUGACAGUGAUAUUCCUCAGUCUUUCACCACUGUACACCGUCAGGCCACUCUUCUUCGACCAAAGGCAGAUAAUGAGGAAAGUAAAGGACCACCUGAGAACUCACUGGAUUUCAGGUCAACCAGUUUGGAUAUUGGGACAGAGGAGGUUGUGACUUUGGGAUUGUCAGGGGAAUACCUGUAUCCAGUGAAGACUGAACCACAUUUGUUUUCUUCCUUACGAGGACUAGAAAGCACGAGAGAUUCGUUAAGCUGCAGCCCAAGAAAUGUCUCAGGCACUUGUGAGGAUACCAGCAGCCUGAUUCUCCAGCAGCUCACAAUUCUCAACCACCAGCUGGAGGAGCAGCUUGCAGAGCAAAGGGCUUUCCAUUGUAGCAUGCUGGGCCUUAUGGAUCGACAGAUAGAAGUCCUGCAACAACUAUCGAAUACAACAAGGGAUCCCCCAGCAAAGGAAGCUCUUGGUGAACAGGAUCCUGCAAUUAACCAACAAGUUCAUAAUGCUCUGAUGCGCAUCCUUAAGGGUGUGGAGCAGGCCCAGGUACAGGGAUUUGCAGCCUUUCAAAAUAAACCCUCUACCUCUGAAACUAUUCCGCCAUCCUGGACGACUUCUCUGCUAGAGGGUCACAAUGCAUCUCCUCCAAGUGAUGAACACUUACUUUGUGAAACCUUGCCUGAACAGCCUCCAAAUGAAAGGGACUCUGUUCCCUCUGAUGCAACACUUCUUGAACAGCACAGCCCUUCAUCUAGAAAAUGUGCUGUAAUAAAUGGUUUGUCAAAUUUGUGCCAAAACAAGUGAGAUUAUCUGACAUCAGUAUUCUUGUAAUUAAUAAUUAUAGCAUUACAUAAAGUUCAAAGAUUAGUCCUAACGUUAGAACUCUUAAAAACCUGUUAUGAGUAAGUUUUUUUUUUUCUUUUUUUUUUUAAUUUUAUUUUUUAUUUUAUUUAAUAUUUCUAUAGGUACUAAGACUUUUAUCUGUGUCAUUUAAGAAUGUCGUCUUUUGAUAUAACAUCUGAAUAAUGUCAUUUUAGAAUAUUACUGUGUCUUUUCCCCAUAUCCCUUUGUAACUGAUGUCACCUUUUCAGCAUGUUUUAUUUAUUUUAAGCAAGACACAUUUACCUCUCUCUUAAUGAACAUCUAAUGGGGUCAGCCUGAGAACCUAUUAAUUCUGUCAGCUCAGAUUUCACCUUUUUCAAAAGAGUAUAGAAACAAAGUACAUUUGGAUUUUAUCUGAAAACUUGACAACAUUAGGUCAAUCUUCAGCUGGUUCUGGGACAAUUUAUUGUGAACUUUCUACACUGAAUUUAUACUGUCUUGUACAUAGUUUAUUCACCCCUGAUGGACUGGCAUUGCAUCUAGGGUGUAUGUCCGGUAUUCUAGGAUAGGCUCAACACAACCACUGUUAUACAAUGAACAAGCAAUUAUGAACAAUGGCUAGAUGGAUGUUUUUAUUCAAAUUAAAGUCAUACAUUGGAAAUUUGCAUUUUAUGCAAAACUCCUGCGAUUCUGGCCAUUAUUAAGUGUAUUUUUCACUAAAACAGAGUUGGAUUACUUGAGAAUUAGUCUCAUACUGAAUGUUUAAUUUGAUGUAAAUUAUAAAUCACAUAUUUCUCAACAGGAAAAGGGCAUUCAUUUGAAGCAGACAGUUUAUAAAUAAUUAGAUUUUUUUAAAUAUAGGUAACACUCAAAGUGUUUGGUUUAGGUUUAAAUGAGCUAAGUGUAAUGAGUUUUAAAUAUAAAAACUGUACAUGGAUUUGGCUUAACUAGUACACAUUCAUGAAGAGUGUACUGAGAAUUUAAAAUUUUGUUCUGAUACUUUCUAACAUAAAUUAGUGCACAUUAUUAACCAUAAUUUAAAUUUGUAUGCUGGCAAUCAGAUGUAACAGAAAAGCAGUUGUUAAUAUUAUAUUCAGGUCUGUGUGUGUAUGUGUGUGGCUAACCUGUAAUUGAGUGGCAUCCUAUCCAGGUUUUACCCUGCCUUGCUGAGCACCCUAUGCUUCCAAGUCUUUGACCCCAUGGUUACUGACAGUGAGUGAGUGAGACAGCUAAAUGUAAACUAACACAAUGCAUAAUGUAUUUCCAAUGCAUAGAUACUUGUUGGUAGUAAAGUAAGGUGCAUUUCUUUUUAUUUGCUAUAUCCUCAUGUGUUUCUAUACCUGACAGAAUGAUAGGAAGUUACAAAAUGAGCAAUUAAUAUUUUGUGGAGUAUUCAUUGGAUUAAAGAGAGUAAAUGGUGCUAAAUAUGUCCCAUUUUAUUAACGCUAUACGUCCAUGUGUUUCGAAAACAUUGAAAUUAUGAAAUGUACUAUUUCAAAUUUGUGGACACUUAACAACUCAUUUUAAGAAAUUUUUAAUAAGUGUAAAUAUAUAGAUAUUAUGGUCACAAACUGCAUGUUUCUACAGAGAAUAUCAAAAGAAAAAUACUUUCAGAUUGCAAGAAUGGAAAAGGGUUAAAAACUGUCAUUUAAAUUACAGUUUAUUUCCCAGAUAUAAACAUUGCAUUUUGUGGGAUUAAGUAUUGAGUGCUGCAUGAAAAAGAAUGUGGAUUAUUAUUAAUUCCUCGAUUUAAACAAAACUAACUCAUCCCAAAAUUACAGGGCUUUUUUUUCCCAUAAGAACACAUGUUAAAGAUGAAACUUAUAUCAUGGAAAAAUUAACAGUUCAAAUUUGACGAGCAUGAGACAAAUAAAAA